rnacentral:lncRNA from 10 species
CCCUCUUGAAGGGUUGAAAGGUCAAAACUAUUUUCAUAAUUAUACUAAGACAUUACCUGACUUUUCCAGAGGCUACAGGAUGUAUGCUAAUGCCACUGCCCUGAAUGCUAAUGGAAUGUAUGCUUAUGUAUUCUUGAGCUUUAGAAAAAAAUCCUCAGUCUUAAUUUCUAAUGCAUAAAUUGCAAUAGCAAUAUCAAUAGGUAAAACCUACACAGGCAAAAGUUCUUUGAGGUCCUUGGAAAUUAUUAAGAGUAUACAAGGGUCCUGAGACCAAAAAUUUGAGAACUGGUAAGAUUUAAUGCAUCAACUACCAUUACACAGUGUCCUUGUUUCUCAUCAAUGCAUUUUAUAUAGCAAUUAUUUUAUCUAAUCCCAUGAAACUCACUUUAUUGGAUGCUUUUGCCAUAUCCUUAUUUUCUAGCAUCGUAGCUAUUAGGUCAUCUAAUUAUUAAUCUGUUUGUGUCUUUGGGUUUAAAUGUGUCUUUUGAGGCCACACAAUGUUGGACUUCAUUUUUUAAUGGAGCCAACAAUCAGCAAUUGCUCCUCUCCUUCCACCACUUGCUAGUUAGGAUGUAAGUUCAGCUA